GGUCUCACGGUAGCUGUCCUUGGGCUUCCCAUCCCGCAGCGCUCCGAUGUGACCCUCCUCUGCGCGGAAAAUUUCGACCCGGGGCGCCGGCAUCGCGACGCUCAGCCAGUGCCCGCGAGGCUCCCAGGAGAUGCGGGGUAGUAAGGCCCUAAAAAGAGGAGCCUGGACACGGCCUGGAUUGAGAAAGAAGCAAGCAAACAAAAAUCCUCGGUAGCUGUGUGUAGCUUCAGGAGUGGAGAGCCGAGACACACCGACGGCGCCGGAGCGUCGCAAGAACAAUGGUUGCUGCAGUGGGUUGGGAGAGAGGACCCGGACAAGUUCCUAAAGGCACGGGAGGAACGCGGGCAAACCAGGUUUAGGGCCCCAGGCGAAUUGUGGAAGGAAUGACUUCCUCAACCUAUCAGCACCGUGGACAAUUCCCACUCCAACGGCCCUGACCUUCGGCCUACUAGAUUCAGCAAAAAUCUCUCUUCCUCCCUUGCUUCCUCCUUUCCUUCCUCCCUUCCUCCUUUCCUUCCUGCCUUCCCUCCCUCCCCUUCCUCCUCCUUUCCUUCCUUUCCUCCCUCCCCUUCUUCCUCCUUUCUUUCCCUUCCUCCUUUCCACUCUUCCCUGUUUGCUUUGUUUCAAAAACAAAA
ensembl:lncRNA novel transcript